UUAAGUUAUGUAUGGGGAUAUCUUUUGGUUCUGUAUGUGGAAAACCAGAAGAGGAUCCGUCUUACUCCAAUUUCCGACUUACCGGGAGGUUUAGGGCUUUGCGCAUCAACAGCGAAAUCAUAAAGUUUAUUCGUAAGUUACAAUGGGUAAGGCGAAAGGUGGCUCAGUAUUCAUCAGGCUAGUCUCGGCUGCUGGGACUGGAUUCUUUUACGUUAAGCGAAAGAACCCACGGAAGAUGGUAGAAAAGCUUGAAUUCAGGAAGUACGAUCCUCGUGUAAACAAACAUGUCCUGUUUACAGAGGCCAAGAUGAAGUAACAAAGCUUGAACUUUUUUGCCACUAUGUAGAACAAAGACAGAAAACACGUUUCGAUUACUAGGAAACAGAAGUGCACAAACGAUUUCAGUAAUUCUUAAACAUGAAGUUGUAACCAGGUGUUUUUUCUGAAACACAAACGUAAUCAGAUAUUUUUUCUUUCAGUAAUUCUUCAUAAACUAGAGUAUAUUCUGUGGGAAAUCCUACCAGAGAUGUUUGUUUAGACUUUACACAACUAAACAAACUGCUCAGGCUGGAUUUCUGUCCUACCAAUUGUUCAAUGUUACAUCAUUUUCACACA